AAUACCCCAUAUGCUUUCGAGUGAAAUGGAUUUUUCCGCCUAAAGAGAAGCUUGCGGCUGAUUAGCUUGUUGGUGAGGUAAUGGCUUACCAAGGCGACGAUCAGUAUCUGGUUUGAGAGGACGAUCAGACACACUGGAACUGAGACACGGUCCAGACUCCUACGGGAGGCAGCAGUGGGGAAUUUUCCGCAAUGGGCGAAAGCCUGACGGAGCAAUCUCGCGUGAGGGAUGACGGCCUAUGGGUUGUAAACCUCUUUUUUCAGGGAGGAAUAAACUGACGUGUACCUGAAGAAUAAGCAUCGGCUAACUCCGUGCCAGCAGCCGCGGUAAGACGGAGGAUGCAAGUGUUAUCUGGAAUCACUGGGCGUAAAGCGUCUGUAGGUGGUUUAAUAAGUCAACUGUUAAAUCUUGAAGCUUAACUUCAAAAUCGCAGUCGAAACUAUUAGACUAGAGUAUAGUAGGGGUAAAGGGAAUUUCCAGUGGAGCGGUGAAAUGCGUAGAGAUUGGAAAGAACACCGAUGGCGAAGGCACUUUACUGGGCUAUUACUGACACUCAGAGACGAAAGCUAGGGUAGCAAAUGGGAUUAGAUACCCCAGUAGUCCUAGCCGUAGACAAUGGAUACUAGAUGUUGAACAGAUCGACCUGUGCAGUAUUAAAGCUAACGCGUUAAGUAUCCCGCCUG
rnacentral:rRNA from 1 species